rnacentral:rRNA from 1 species
UUCGCAAUGCCCGAAAGGGUGACGAAGCGACGCCGCGUGUGGGAAGAAGGCCUUCGGGUUGUAAACCACUGUCGGGAGUUAAGAAAUGCAAGGAUAUGAAUAGUGUCUUUGUUUGACUAAGGCUCCGGAGGAAGCCACGGCUAACUCUGUGCCAGCAGCCGCGGUAAUACAGAGGCGGCAAGCGUUGUUCGGAAUUAUUGGGCGUAAAGAGCACGUAGGCGGCUAUGUAAGUCGGUUGUGAAAGCCUUCCGCUCAACGGAAGAACAGCAUCCGAUACUACAUGGCUUGAGUGCGGGAGGGGAGAGUGGAACUUCUGGUGGAGCGGUGAAAUGCGUAGAUAUCAGAAGGAACGCCGGCGGCGAAAGCGGCUCUCUGGCCCAUAACUGACGCUGAGUGUGCGAAAGCUAGGGGAGCAAACGGGAUUAGAUACCCCGGUAGUCCUAGCCGUAAACGAUGGGCACUAAGUAGAGGGGUUUU